rnacentral:rRNA from 1 species
GAUGAACGCUGGCGGCGUGCCUAUACAUGCAAGUCGAGCGAACAGACGAGGAGCUUGCUCCUCUGACGUUAGCGGCGGACGGGUGAGUAACACGUGGAUAACCUACCUAUAAGACUGGGAUAACUUCGGGAAACCGGAGCUAAUACCGGAUAAUAUAUUGAACCGCAUGGUUCAAUAGUGAAAGACGGUUUUGCUGUCACCUAUAGAUGGAUCCGCGCCGCAUUAGCUAGUUGGUAAGGUAACGGCUUACCAAGGCAACGAUGCGUAGCCGACCUGAGAGGGUGAUCGGCCACACUGGAACUGAGACACGGUCCAGACUCCUACGGGAGGCAGCAGUAGGGAAUCUUCCGCAAUGGGCGAAAGCUUGACGGAGCAACGCCGCGUGAGUGAUGAAGGUCUUCGGAUCGUAAAACUCUGUUAUUAGGGAAGAACAAAUGUGUAAGUAACUAUGCACGUCUUGACGGUACCUAAUCAGAAAGCCACGGCUAACUACGUG